CACCAAUAGACUACACACGUAGAAAGGUGUGUAUCAGGACCUCUGGACGCGGGUUCGAAUCCCGCCGUCUCCACUA
rnacentral:tmRNA from 1 species